GGAUGGGUGGCCGAGCGGUUGAAGGCACCGGUCUUGAAAACCGGCGAACGUGUGAGCGUUCCGUGGGUUCGAAUCCCACCCCAUCCGCCA
rnacentral:tRNA from 1 species